rnacentral:misc_RNA from 1 species
AACGCACAUUGCGCCCCUUGGUAUUCCGAGGGGCAUGCCUGUUCGAGCGUCAUUAUAACCACUCAAGCCUCGGCUUGGUCUUGGGGUUCGCGGUCUCGCGGCCCUUAAAAUCAGUGGCGGUGCCGUCUGGCUCUAAGCGUAGUAAUUCUUCUCGCUUUGGAGACCCGGGUGCGUGCUUGCCAGCAACCCCCAAUUUUUUCAGGUUGACCUCGGAUCAGGUAGGGAUACCCGCUGAACUUAA